rnacentral:misc_RNA from 1 species
AAUAAACUGUCAAACUCAAAUAGAUAAAAAUUCAAAAUUGUUUACACCGUUUAGAUAUUUUAAAAAAAUGAGUGAAUUUCAAUUACAAAGUAUUGUGGAUAAUUUAUUGCAUCACUUAGGGGGUACCGUUCAGCCAGAAGAGGUUGUUGAUUAUUUACAGAAGAAUAUUACGCAAACUACAAGUGUUGGUUGUUCAGGAGCUCAAAUCACUGAAAAAGGCCAAAUAAAUAAUCUUAUAGGAAAACUAUCAAAUCAGGAACCAUUCAUUGCCAAGUACAAUGAUUUGAAACAGAAAAAUGUUGAUUCUUUAAAUCUGUUUGUGCAGUUACUAAACAAUAUUAUCCAAGAUACUGGAGUAAAGGAACUACUAGCUAAGACUAAAAGGCAACAAUUUACUCUAAGUGCGAAAACAAACAUUACCAAAGAUGAUUUACCCCUAGUAAAAAAUAUUCUCAAAGAAAAAGUGAAACAUAGUCCCGUAGGGGACUUAAGCAGUGUUUUAAAUAUAUCUUCAUCUGUUCCAAUUGCUUCAACACCUUCAGUAAUGUCUUGGGUACAAAGAAAACCUACAAUGUCUUUUGAUUUUUCAACAACUAGUUUUGGCACUUGCUUAACUACCGUACCUGAAAUAUCACAAGAAAAUGUUUUAAUCGAAGAUCUCUUGAACUGUUUGAUUGGCUUGCCGGGAUGUUAUAUAGAGCCAGAAGAUUUGAAGGAUCCAUAUGGACCUCGAACGUUUAAAAUAAAUGAUAACGUUCCUAUAUCUCUGCAAGAACUUGUAAAGCAGAUAUUGCCAUUGGCCAGUCAUUAUUCGAUGAUACAAAGGUUUACUGAGGAAAAAAUGAGAUUUGAAUUUGGGCAAGUUAAUAAUGCUUUGGCAGAGGCAAUGCAAUGUUUAAACAAGGAUCAUAUGUUAUUUGUUGUACAAUUAGAAACAGAAUUCAGAGCUGGUAAUCUGACAUUACAGAAGUUAUGGUUCUUUACACAAAGAAACAUGCAAUGUUUAGGAAUUGCAGCAGAUAUAGCAUUUUGUAUUAGUAAAUCUGAUGCGAAAGGUGGUAAGGUAUUAAGCUUACUACAUGAUAACGUUAUAAGUUCUAUUGGUGAUGAACGUAAUCAACAAUUGUGUUUGAAACUUAUGGGAGCUGCCUGUGUGCCUUACAUGAAAAUGUUGGGCAUGUGGAUAUACAUGGGAAUCAUAUCAGAUCCUAUUAACGAAUUCUUAGUUGAGGAUAAUGAAGUUAUUCAGAAAGAGGAUAUGCCUGUCGAUUAUUCGGCCGAUUAUUGGGACAAAAAAUACUGCAUACGAAGGGAUAGAAUACCAAAAUUUUUAGAACCUGUCGCAGAUAUUAUAUUAAAAGCGGGAAAAUAUUUAAAUGUUAUAAGACAGUGUGGUAAACCGGUAAGAACAAAAAUCUGUCCGAUACUGUAUCGAAUUGAAGAAAAACAUUACAUUGAGGCUAUAGAGAAAGCAUAUAUGUUUGCUAGCAAAACUCUUUUGGAUCUUGUGAUUACCGAAAAGGAUCUUAUAGGUCGUUUAAAAUCCGUCAAGCAUUACUUCCUUCUGGAUAAGGGCGAUUUUAUCGUCACGUUUCUCACGUUAUGCGAAAAAGAGCUUAAUAAAAUGGUCGUUGAUAUUAUUCAAAGCAGAUUGGAGAGCUUAAUGGACUUGGCACUGAGACUAUCCAGUUCUGCUAAUGACCCUUAUCGAGAAGACCUGAAGACUGAAUUAUUACCGUUUAAUUUGCAGUUUCAAAUGUUUAAGAUACUCAGUAUUCAAACAAAUUCAGAACAAGAUUAUUGGUCAUGUUUUGAUCCAAAGAACUUAUCUGUUAUCGAAUCGUUUGCAUUUAGUUAUGAAGUCCGUUGGCCCCUGUCCCUUAUUCUCAACAAGAAAUCUCUCGCUUGUUAUCAAAUGAUUUUUCGACAUUUAUUCUACUCGAAAUACGUGGAGAGAUUGUUGUGUCAAGUGUGGAAAUCAAAUAAAGUUGCUAAAAAAUUCCACUAUUCCGAUGCGAGGCACUACAGAGAAGCAUUUGCUUUAAGACAAAAAAUGUUGCACUGCGUUCAAAAUCUAGAGUACCAUAUGAUGGUCGAGGUUAUCGAGCCACACUGGUGUAGUUUUAUACAGAAAAUUCAUAAGGUUCAUAAUGUUGAUGAAAUUUUGUCGUGUCAUUGUGAUUUUCUAGACAGUUGUUUAAAGGACUGCAUGUUAACAAUUCCAGCUAUUCUCAGCACAAUCGUGAAGAUCCUAAAUAUAUGUGUGGAAUUUUCCAAGUUUAUGCAACGGAUGGAACGCUAUUUCGUCGAAGCAGAGUUGGGUUCGUUACCAAAUUCGCUUUACGAUUCCUUCACACAGAAUGAAGUAACGUUUCAAGACCAGGAAUUAAACUUAAGUUUUAAAGGCAAAAUAACCCUGUACGACAGCGAGUUUUUGAAAGCCAUAAGAUCGCUUUUGGCACAAAUCAACGACUUAAAUAGAGACACCAGUGAGCACGACCGUCUCUUUAAUUUAUUAUACAGGUAUUGUUGUAUUCAACCUUCGCUUAGACUAUUCCAAAUAUAGUAGUGUAAUGCAUGUGCAAGUUUAGGAAUAAAAUAAUAUCAAAUUCUUGGUGAGAAUAUUAUUAAACACAUGGUAAAAUGAAUAUUUGAAGAUUGAAUUUUAAUUCAUUUUACACUGGAGAAGGACUAAUAGAUGGAUCGUCCGGUUAAGCUGACUUUAUUUAUUAUAUUUUAAAAUGUUUACAAUAUAUUACUUCACAG